AGCAGCCGCGGUAAUUCCAGCUCCAAUAGCGUAUAUUAAAGUUGUUGCAGUUAAAAAGCUCGUAGUUGAAUUUCGGGAUUAAUAUGUUGGUCGUGCCUUGGUACGUACUGGCAUUAUUGAUUCCUACCUUCUGAAGAACCUCGAUGUCAUUAAUUUGGUGUCUUGGGGAAUCAGGACCGUUACUUUGAAAAAAUUAGAGUGUUUAAAGCAGGCUCGCGCUUGAAUACAUUAGCAUGGAAUAAUGAAAUAGGACGUUUGAUUCUAUUUUGUUGGUUUCUAGAAUCGACGUAAUGAUUAAUAGGGAUAGUUGGGGGCAUUAGUAUUCAAUUGUCAGAGGUGAAAUUCUUGGAUUUAUUGAAGACUGACUACUGCGAAAGCAUUUGCCAAGGAUGUUUUCAUUAAUCAAGAACGAAAGUUAGGGGAUCGAAGACGAUCAGAUACCGUCGUAGUCUUAACCAUAAACUAUGCCGACUAGGGAUCGGAUGAUGUUAAUUUUAAUGACUCAUUCGGCG
rnacentral:misc_RNA from 1 species